GUACGGGGGGGGGCAAGCGUUGUUCGGAAUUACUGGGCGUAAAGGGCUCGUAGGCGGCCAACUAAGUCAGACGUGAAAUCCCUCGGCUUAACCGGGGAACUGCGUCUGAUACUGGAUGGCUUGAGUUUGGGAGAGGGAUGCGGAAUUCCAGGUGUAGCGGUGAAAUGCGUAGAUAUCUGGAGGAACACCGGUGGCGAAGGCGGUUCUCUGGGCCUUACCUGACGCUGAGGAGCGAAAGCGUGGGGAGCGAACAGG
rnacentral:rRNA from 1 species